rnacentral:rRNA from 1 species
UACAGGGGGUGCAAACGUUGCUCGGAAUCAUUGGGCGUAAAGCGCACGUAGGCGGUUCGUUAUGUCGGAUGUGAAAGCCCUUGGCUUAACCGAGGAAGUGCAUCCGAAACUGGCGAGCUAGAGUACGAAAGAGGAUCGCGGAAUUCCCGGUGUAGAGGUGAAAUUCGUAGAUAUCGGGAGGAACACCAGUAGCGAAGGCGGCACUCUGGGCCGGUACUGACGCUGAGGAGCGAAAGCGUGGGGAGCGAACAGG